GAUCAGUUCCGUAAAACCUAGAACAGGUGAUUUCGCUUAAGCACAUACAAGCUAAAACGAGCCAAAACUAGAACUUGCACAAUGGAUGUCUUGGCUCCCCCUACGAUGAAGAACAUGGCAUAAUGUGAAAAGUGACGGGAGUCGCAUACAUCGUGACCGGUUCAAUCUUUGAAUGCACAUUGCCCUCUUCGGAGGAUGCUGCCUUAUGUGUCCUUUUCAUUCACAAGUGGCCCUCGGGCUCUAAGCGAACAAAGAAACGGAGGGACCAUAGGGCAACAGGA
rnacentral:rRNA from 1 species